GUACUACCUCCACAUCACCGCCUACCUAAGUUAUUAAUUAUUGAAUUGAGCCCAGCCGCCUGUAUUCAUGCAAGUCUUGGAGUUGGUACCUAUAUAGCUAUAAGGUCAAGUUCCAGAAAGCUGUCCUGAAUUCACAAGGCAACCAACUACUUAUCUUAGGUCCAGUGCUAGGAAGCCCAUGGUGGGGUCAUGGCAGCGGGAUUCUGGAGGUAGGACAUCACCACCGCACUGACGCUCAACAUAAAGGAGGAGAGCACCUGUUUGGCAUCGUCGCUGGCCCGAGAACUGGCGAAACUAAUGCAGGAGCAGUACAGCGCAAACCAGGCGCACCACUUGAGCUGUGUAGUCCACACAUGGAGAAAAUCAUGCCCAGAAUGUUCAUGUAAUCCGGCAUCAUGUCCUCGUUGGCGCCGCCGCUCUGGCCCUGGUUCUUGGGCGCCUUGUAGCGGUUGAUCUUCUCCUUGCGGCGCGGAUCCACGGU
ensembl:ncRNA asRNA:CR45160 antisense RNA:CR45160